GUGGUUAGGCUUUCCUCGCUAGUGAUUUGAUCACUAAUGACAGCUGCUCUGUUACAAGGAGAUCAUUCAUUUCACCUGGGGCUGCAUCAUCAAUGGUAAGUUUAUAAGGGAGUCAGAGGGGCUUGUCCAGCAAUCAUUUUCCCUACCCUCCACUGUUGGAGAGGGAGGUCAUUUUGGUCUCUGACCACCUUUUUCUUUUCUUUUAUUUUUGAUUUAUUUUUCAUCUCCACUUGGAAUGCUGGUCUAUCCAUACUGAGCCUACUGAUUAGGAGUGUUGUGAUACCUCAUAUCCAUUCUUGGCUGCUGACACUUUUUAUGUGAAUACGUUUGUUAUUUCACACACCCCUCAUGGUCUUGGAGCCCUCUGGGAGUGGGGGAGACCUAUGGGCAUUGAGCAUAUCAUCUGACUUGGCCGCAUUGGAUCCGGCGCACACACGGGCUCUCUGGGGACGAUCUGGGCACUCCAAGCUUGGGAGAGGAAAAACCUCACUGCUAAUGUUCCCUGAAGAAGGAUGUAUUACUAAAAGCAUUUGAAACGCGUUGGAAACGACCAUC